AUUGAACGCUGGCGGCAUGCUUUACACAUGCAAGUCGAACGGCAGCGCGGGCUUCGGCCUGGCGGCGAGUGGCGAAUGGGUGAGUAAUGCAUCGGAACGUGCCCAGUAGUGGGGGAUAGCCCGGCGAAAGCCGGAUUAAUACCGCAUACGACCUGAGGGUGAAAGCGGGGGACCGAAAGGCCUCGCGCUAUUGGAGCGGCCGAUGUCGGAUUAGCUAGUUGGUGGGGUAAAGGCUUACCGAGGCGACGAUCCGUAGCUGGUCUGAGAGGACGACCAGCCACACUGGGACUGAGACACGGCCCAGACUCCUACGGGAGGCAGCAGUGGGGAAUUUUGGACAAUGGGGGCAACCCUGAUCCAGCCAUGCCGCGUGCGGGAAGAAGGCCUUCGGGUUGUAAACCGCUUUUGUUCGGGAAGAAAUCCUCUGGGCUAAUACCCCGGGGGGAUGACGGUACCGGAAGAAUAAGCACCGGCUAACUACGUG
rnacentral:rRNA from 1 species